rnacentral:lncRNA from 1 species
UUCACUUUCCUCUGAUCUCCUUUAUUUCUAUUCCAGCCCAUUUAUUUAUUACUUAUUUGUGGUGUCUGUAAGAGGAGGCAGGAUUGUCAAUAAGCAAGUCUUCACUAACAGUACGUUCCUGGAGAAGCAAUGAAGAGCCAGCUGAAACAAAUAAAAUAGUAAUAAUGUGAGUGAGAAAGGUAAAUAGGAUGCAGGAGCAAGCAGUGGUAAAAAACG